AACGAACGCUGGCGGCAUGCCUAACACAUGCAAGUCGAACGAGACCUUCGGGUCUAGUGGCGCACGGGUGCGUAACGCGUGGGAAUCUGCCCUUGGGUUCGGAAUAACUCAGAGAAAUUUGAGCUAAUACCGGAUGAUGACGUAAGUCCAAAGAUUUAUCGCCCAAGGAUGAGCCCGCGUAGGAUUAGCUAGUUGGUGAGGUAAAGGCUCACCAAGGCGACGAUCCUUAGCNGGUCUGAGAGGAUGAUCAGCCACACUGGGACUGAGACACGGCCCAGACUCCUACGGGAGGCAGCAGUGGGAAUAUUGGACAAUGGGCGAAAGCCUGAUCCAGCAAUGCCGCGUGAGUGAUGAAGGCCUUAGGGUUGUAAAGCUCUUCCUACCCGGGAUGAUAAUGACAGUACCGGGAGAAUAAGCUCCGGCUAACUCCGUGCCAGCCGCCGCAGU
rnacentral:rRNA from 1 species